rnacentral:rRNA from 1 species
UGAGAGUUUGUAACACCCAAAGCCGGUGGGGUAACCUUCGGGAGCCAGCCGUCUAAGGUGGGACAGAUGAUUAGGGUGAAGUCGUAACAAGGUAGCCGUAGGAGAACCUGCGGCUGGAUCACCUCCUUUCUAAGGAA